CAUCUUUGAAUGUAAUUUAGGACCAUUUAUUUUAGUCAAUACUUCCAGCCAAACCCACCAACAACAGAACAAGAAACAGAGAAAUUGGUUUGAAGUUAACGGAAAUCCUUAACUAUGGACAAGAUAAGAAGCAAUUAGUUUUGAAAUCUACGGGUAAAAGCGAUACUGAUGAGGAAACCACUAAAUUUCUAAAAGGGAAUUAUGACAAAUGACAAACGACAUUUUUACCCAAUCUUUGACGAUUCCUUUCAACAAUACUUGAGGAUUCCUCUCUUAUAAUACAACGUAAAAUCGCGUCUUCUUUCCCGUAGAAGGUAGUUUCUAAGCGGUUCAAAGUUUCAGCCUAUACUUCGACCAUGUUGUACGCUUUGGGCAGUGAAGUGAGAUUGUUGACGAUCUUUAACAUAAAUCGUUGUUGUUCCGUAAAAAAUGUUAACAAGAUUUAGAGUGUUC